AUGGACAAGUACACGAUUCGCAUCCUUGCACUAGCAGCACUAGUGUGUCUACAUCUCGUAUGCUCUGCUACUGUUGCUCAAUGCCGAAUCAUGGCUGACACAGACAGCAAGAAGAUCGAUCUACCAAAUGGGCUAUGCGUUGAAGUAGCUCCUGAGGAUUGUAUGAACCGUGCUGGUUGCUUCCAUUGUUUGGUAACUGACGUCUUCUACCCCACUAUGGAUGACUGCAAGAGCAUGUGUAACACAUCCUCGUCUUUACAAGACAUGCUAGGUGCCAUGACGACAUCCCCUCCCCCUCCUUUACCUGCUCCUUAA
rnacentral:rRNA from 1 species